rnacentral:misc_RNA from 1 species
AUGGCCUUGCCAUUCACCUU